rnacentral:lncRNA from 1 species
UGACAUAAUUCUUAGUUUUAUUGUGAAAUUUAUAUACAUGCAUGCAUUAUGUUUUGUACUAUUCAUGAUGUAAAUUUUAAGCUUACAGGCUCACAGCUGUGUUUUCCUUCCCUCAUACUGUUCGACGAACUACUCACAUCAACCGACUAUGAUAAUCUAGUUUAUGCAUAUCGAUUUUAGACUAUUCAUGAUGUAUUUUGGCUGCCUAAAUGUCUGUUGUCCUACAAUUAACAAAGUACGUAUUUAUAGUGAAGAUGAAAAGAAUCGUGUCCAUAUACAUCGAUCAAAACUAUUUGGGGAAAGUUUAUACAUUUAUCACAUAUGGUUACCUUAUCAAUUAAUUCCAAUUAAUUAACGAAAAAAGAUUGGACCUUUUUGAUAUUUCUUAUCUAAAUAU